GACGAACGCUGGCGGCGUGCUUAACACAUGCAAGUCGAACGGGCCUUGUCCCCUUUUUUUGGGGGUGGGGUUAGUGGCGAACGGGUGAGUAACACGUGAGUAACCUGCCCCUCACUUCUGGAUAACCGCUUGAAAGGGUGGCUAAUACGGGUUGUUCUUGCCUGCUCGCAUGGGUGGGUUUGGAAAGAUUCGACCGGUUUUGGUUGGUUUGGUGGGGGAUGGGCUCGCGGCCUGUCAGCGUGUUGGUGGGGUGAUGGCCUGCCAAGGCUUUGACGGGUAGCCGGCGUGAGAGGGUGCGCGCACACACUGAGUGUGAGACAGGGCACAGACUCAUGCGAGGGACAGGAGUGGGGAAUAUUGCACUAUGGGCGCAAGCCUGAGGGAGAGACGGCGUGUGAGAGAUGGGUGCCUUGAGGGUGUGAACCUCUUUCGCGGGUGAAGAAGAUGCUGAAGUAUGUGGGGACGUCGACAGUAGCUGGGUUAAUGAAGCGACGGCUAACUACGUG
rnacentral:rRNA from 1 species